UGUGAGCAAGCAGAAGAAUCGUUAUUUAAUUUAAUAUAAUCGAAUCAAGCCAAUUUCUCGUUUGGAAAUACAUUUGAACUGAUUUUAUAUAAAAGAAAAAUGUCGGAAAACAAUUUUCUACAAAUUCGAUCGUGACGUAAGGACUGGUUCGUAACCGAAAAAUUGCAGACUUUAAAUAGACUUAAGGGAAAAAAGUAGAUAAGACAGACAGCAGGGAAGGAAAAUUGGGAAAAGCCCGGAAACUGCUCAUAUUGGUGCGAGCAUGGACGUUACACGUGCAUUUCUGAGGUAGCUGCAAGGGCCAAGGGAGAAACCUUGAAAAUAGUGAAACAGCAGAAUGAAGACUGAAAAUUCCUAGAGAAGUUCGCAGAGAGAAAGUUAAAGAAAAUCACAGAUCGAGAAAAUCCGAAAAAGGACUAGAGAAAGUAACCAGACUCGCGCGAUAUCGCGAGAAACGUAGAGAAAAAUAGAAAAGAAAGUUUACCGAAAGAUAUAGAAAUAUAAGGAAGAAAAACUUGGCAAUGGUACCAGAACUGUUACAAUUUUAACUUAAUGAUCAAAAAAUUACGCAGCCUAUAAAGAAAAAUAAAAGAAUAAUUCAGUGGAAAAUUCAUUGGAAAAGAAUGCAACUAUAAUGUUGUUCUCGAAUCAAAAUUAUGUUCCUAACUCUUUUUAAAUAUGUUUCUUUCGCAUUAUCAUCGCGCGUGUGCUCUUAUGAUAAACUAUCUAACACAAACAAUCAAACUAUCGAUUCCGUUUAACGAACAAGAAGUGUAAUUUUCUUUGUAAUAACAUUUCUAUAUAAUACGAUUUUAUUUUCACAAAAUUGUAUGUCAUUUCCACGUUUCAGCUCGGUUCGUAAUUUCUGCAAUGUUCAUGCUACUUGGAAAGGAACAAAGGCUGUUUGCCGAUAACACCGGGAAUCUCGAGAAAUAUCAAGAGGGCGAUGCUUCGAGAAUCGAGAACAGAGGCAUCGGAGAAUUUGAAACGUCGCAGGAAGUCGCAGGCGUUGUCAUCGAAGCUGCUGUGAUCACUAAAACGUAUAUAUAGUCGAUUUGCAAUGUGUGAGAUAGGCGAGAGAUUAUUUUUUUCCACAUUCUAUCGUUUAUCGGACUUGGUCCGUAUCCGUAAAUAAUGGUACUGUGUAUCACCGGAAGCUCGUCUGCUGUUCUUUCUACGAGUAGCAGCUGGAUCGUAAAGCUGUUUACAGGAACGGCGAAUCGAGUGUAACCUUAUGUUACAUUUCAGCGGUCGGUUGGCAGAAGCACGUUUGCGACAAUUCGAAGAACAGGCUAAAUGUAUUGGUAUACGUGGGCGUACAGUGUAAUAUAUAAAUCAUAAAUCACGGUGAAGCAGAAAAUAUAUCAUGAUAAGCGGACAGGGCACGUUAUGGGAUGUACAUAUGUCAUAAGAAGAAGGAAGCUCUCACAUCGCUAAAGUGAUGUGAUUCAAAUCGUUUUGACAGAAUGCAUGGUGACCGAUUGUUUGAUGUGAGUUAUCGUUGUCAGAAAUCAUCGAUUCGAGUGAUCGUUUCGCCACAAUUUAUGAUCUCGCCGGGCCGUUCUAGUAGCAUUUGCUAUGAUCUAUGUCAAUAUACAAGAGGAUCUGUAUCGAGUGUCAACUUCCUCUUUAACUAUAUAUAUAUAUAUAUAUCAGAACCGUCAAUAACGCGUGUGUAUUUUAUCACUGUAUUAAUUGCUCGUACAGUGAGUUGAAAUUAAUCCACUCUUUAAAAAUUGAUUUCCAAUGCACUAUAACUUGCUACCGUUAUUAUCACGAAGAUAUUUCGGAAUAAAUAGAAUAGAAACAGCAGUAACACAAUUAUACAGUAGAACUCCACUUACUGCAACGAAAUUUUAAUCGAUGUCCGAUUAACCGAACCCUUGCUGAUUGAAUUCGCUUAUCUGAACGUAAACUCCUCUUAUAUGAAUGCCAACUAGAUAAACUGUUUGUUUCUCGACAAGUUCAGAUAAAUGGAAUUCUACCGUAACGACAAGCGCAGCUGGUUACCGAACGCAUUCGACUGUUCCGCAUAUAAGAAGAGAACGAGGUCGUUCAGGAAGAGAUACGGAAGGAUGAUUGACGAAGACCUACCGCAACCUUCACUUGGAUCUGUUCAGCUAAAUUCGCCUAUAUGCCGACACUUGUCAGGUUCAGUGGAUAUUUCGAGGCGUUGUUACUGAUGAUACCAGAAUGGCGCUUGCAAACCGCAAUGACAACCACGCACCAGGUUGGCUGAAAUGACACCGCAGUGUCAGUGCUAUGAAUGCUGCUGCUGUUGUGGUUAACGAGAGCAUUUAAGAUCUGACGGUCCUUUAGACACCAGUCGUUGAGGCUUAUGUUACCAUUUCUAGCCAUGAAAAGUCCAUUUCUUCUUUCUUCCAGAACCUAAGCUUUCUUUUCAUAUCUUGCGCUGUGAAAUCCAUUUCUAUUUUUUAUUACCUCGCGUACUUUUCAUUUUCAGAUUAUUAUACUCCAAUUUUUAAUAAACUUCACAACGACAGGUUAAGAAAUCUUCUGCAAAUUGACUUCCUACUUUUCCACCGAAUUCAAGUAAUCGUGGUUCUAUUAACGAAAAUAUAUUUCACAUCCAAAGUAGAUUAUUACGGCAUUUGUUCGAAAUUUCCACGAAAUUCUGUUCACUUUACAUCUACGAUCAUUUCUUUCUUAGCAUAAUCUCGAUUUAUAAAUUUCUUCUAAUUGAAAUAACAACAUAGUGCAAAAUACUCGUUUCUUUCUAUAGUAUCAAAAAAUGAGAGAGGAGGUUUUUAGAGAACAAGCAAAUGAUACCGAAUCCUUUCUUUCAUAAUAAUUGCAAUCUUCAAGCAACUGAAAUGUUAUUUUAUUCUCAACCACGAAGUAA